UUUCUUGGCAUUCCUUAGCAUUUUAUGUUUCACAAACCUUAAGGGAACAUCGGGUUACUAAUUUACUUCUGCGUACUUCCACAGCCAUUUAACAACUUCUAAAGUGUAGUAUGGAAUGUAAUGAAUGAAUAUCGGCGGAGGGAAAAUGUGUUUAGAAUAGAAUCAUAGAAAAAUUUGGGUUGGAAGGGCCCUUUAGAGGUCAUCUAGUCCAACCUCUCUGCAAUGAGCAGGGCCAUUUUAGACUAGGCCAGGUUGCCCUGAGCCCUACCCAGUCUAACUUGUUUCCAGGGUCUAGUAGAGGAUCAGGAGAAGAUCAUAGUAAAAUCAGCCCAGAAUGUGGCAGAAAUGAUCUUCAGAACACUCCUGAAUUUUUAUCAGCUUGACUAGAUGUCCAACCACCAUCCCUCCUCAUCUGACUUCAGCAGAGACUGCAGAGACCACAGAGACCUAUGGUCUUCCAGAUGCUCUGAGUACCAGAGAAGGACCCCCAAAAGACAGAAAAACUCCAUGAGAAAAUGUGUGUCUUAAAAGGAUGAGCAAGAAAAUCAUUCAACCACCAACUCACUAAUAAAACAAAUACUUUUAUUAUUAUUCAUGAACGAGCAAAAAUCCUGCCGUAAAUCUGCAGACCUUGUUCUGCAUCUCUUAGCAUGGAUCGAGAGGAUAUACAUGCUAUUUACAGGAAUUAAGAACAGAAGGAUCAGGUUUCACUUUAUUUUUAUCCCUUACUUAUAAUUUAAAUGAUUGCACAUCUCAAAUAGACUUACACAGGCCUUAAAUAAUGUGCAAACUAUCCAUGCAAAUAAUUUGUCCAUUAAGUGCAAGUGUAGUUCCAAAUGAGGGAUAAAUUUCUUUUUGAUUAACAGUUGUACUGAGAGUCUUGUUAAAUAGGAGAAGUGCAUAAACACAGUUAAAGUGCCAAGACAAAUCAGAAAUGUAGAGGAGAAUUAGGAUACCAAACCAUGACUUGGAACAGAGACUGAAACCUGGGAUUAAGAUACAUAUUUUGUAACAGGUCUUCAGCCUGUGUCAGCCAUUCCUGCUUUCCUGCAGGUUUAGUCAUUUGUGCCUGAACCUGCACACAGCCACAGCUUGGCAGAGAAUUGGUGACAUGACCUAUGUGAACAAAUAUUAUUCCACAAAGGAAUAACUUGUUCAGAAAUUGGAAGCAAGGCAAAAAGGAAACAAAAUUUGCCCUUUAAGUCAAAGAUAGAUACAAAUACUUUGAUUUAGUUAGUGUGUUCUGCUGAAAGUUUCUCACUGAUGAUUAAUAAAGAGAAAAAUAGAGAUUUCAUGAUGCUGAUAAGGAUUUCUUUAUAACACCUUUUCUCAGGGCUAAAAGAAAAAGCUAGAAGGGAACAAGAAUAAGUAAUUAUUACUAAGGGUAGGUGUUAAUUAUCCAGUUGUGGAGGGGCAUAGGAAGUAUAAUAUAAGAUCAUUUUGACAAAAAAAUUAACAAUCAUGGAGUUCAGUUAUCAGGCAAAAACAAAAAGAAAGGCUGAGCUACCAGGCAUUAAUACAGAGUUAUAGCACAACUGCUUGGAAAUGCAAGGAAUAGAAUGAGCUGCAAUUAACACAAAGCAUGCCCCAAAAAAAGUUAAAGGGAAGAAUCAGUUAAGAUACUAAGACACUCUUCAAUAAAAAGAGCACUAUCAAGUAAGGUAGCAUAAUUUAUAUGUGUCAGGAAAGAAAGACCUCAUCUUUAAGUAUUUAAUAUACUUGAUUCAUCUGGUUCUGAUGACUGCAUCCCACAAUACCUAAAAUUGGUUGGAUAAUUCUCUGCACUGCUAACAAUUAUUUUUAGUUAUUCAAGGAGAAAUGUGGUAUUCAUUAGCAUAAAACAUGCUUAUCUUAAAAAAAUUAAAAAGGAAGAGUCAGAGAAUUAAAAACCCCGGUAUCAAAACCUCAGUUAACCUGAAAAAAAUGCCAGUCAUGAUCCAACAAACUGUUUGUAAGUCUCUAGGGGAAAAAAACCCAAAAAAAAUAACAAAAAGAAAAACCAAAACCAAACAAACAAGCAAAAACCAAGCAAAACAGGAAAAAAACAAGGAAAUUGCAAUCAGCAUUAAUUAAUCCACCAUCAGACUAGGCAAGAGUAGCCUAGACUAAGCUAUUGGAGAGUGAGUGAAAGUCAUCCCCUGAGAGCGACUGUGAGUGAUUAACUGUAAGAAGGGAAGACUGCAUUGAGUGGUCCUGCAGAGGUCUCAGCUGCAUUCAGAUAUCUUUAAUGUCAUCACUGGUGCUCAGGAUCUGCAGACAUGACUGCUUUGAGAAUAGCACCAGUCAUUGUGAAGAUUAGAGUUAAUCAUACCCUUGAAAUUUGGAGAUAAAACUCUGGCAAGUCAUGCUGCAGGGACGAGGUACUUCAUUUGAUCCAGAAAAAUUAAUUGGACAAGAAACCAACUUUUGUCUGUUACACAGAAAAAGAAAAGGGGGAUUUUUUUUAGAGAUGGAAACCUGAAUAAAAAUUAAAAAUAUUAAGGAAAUACAAAUACGACCCUACAAUGGAACAUACAAUUUGAGCCAGCAAAGACCAAAAGUCAUUACCUCUGCUCUGCUCAGAGCAGGUAAGGUCUCCUUUGAAGAGCUGAGUUCAGUCUGAGCCACUGUACUUCAAGAAAGAUGUGGACCAAAUGGACAAAAUUCAAAGGAGCAUGGUGAAAGAGUAAAGGAAAGAUUUGGUUUCAAAGUCCAUAGUGAUGGGACAUCAAGCAAGAAAGACUGAAUGUAAAAAAAAUAAAAAUUAAAUCAAGUGCUAAUUCGAGUGAAACCCUGGAAGAAAUUCCUUGAAGAUGUAGGGGAAUCUUACUUUUAUAUCUUCUUCUCUCAUCAUUCAUGUGUUUUUUACAAAUACUUGAUGAGAAUGACAUGGAUAAAGUUGCAGUACCAGAUGACCCUUUGAGAUCCCUCCAAGCCCUAUCUUUCCAUGUUUCUAGGUUCUCAUCUCUGGACACUUUCCUGUAAUGCACCUGUUAGAAAGCAGCAAAUGUUGUAUUACUUUCGCUGCUUUCUCCCUCUUUCUCACUGAGUGUGGUCAGUUUCAAAGAAAAAAAAAAAUAAA